ensembl:lncRNA
UGAAAAUCCAGAUUUUUUAAUUAUGUAUUUCUUUGCAAGGACAUUCUUUAAUAAAAUGCUCAGUGCUGGAUAGUUUUAUGUCAACUUGACAAAAACCUAAACUGGUCUGAGAGAAGGAACCCUCAAUUAAGAAAAUGCCACAAGAUGGGGCUGCAGGCAAGCCUAUAGAUAAUUUUCUUAAUUAGAGAGAGGUGGAGGCGGGCCCAGCCCAUUGUGGGCUGGUGCCCUGCGUUCUGUAAGAAAGCAGAGUGAGCAGCCAGUCAGCAGUGUUGUUUUACUGCAGCACAGCGGCGGUGCCUGAAUCGACAGCUGUCGCAGCUAAUGACUGCGGCUCAGGCCGACGCUGGGUGGGACGUCUGUGUCCCACCUCCACCGCUGCUGCCACAAAUGUUUUCACCUCCGUCUCUAUAAUCCUGUUUUACCAAUAAGACUCGGGAGCCAGAUGCUGGGGUGAAACCCCACCAGCUCAGAGAGUCAGGAAAACACACAGCCGCUUCCUCCGUUGUUGCCUUCCUGCAAAGAGAGCAUCUCUUCAGCCACCAUCCCAAACCAGAAGUCCCGCCCUCGUACUUCCUGUGCACUUUCUAGCUGUCUUCCUGACUUCCUCCCACUCUCUCUAGCUUUUUUUUUUUUCUAACGGUUGCUUGCACCACCUCUGGAUCUAUGGUUGGGUUUAGUUAAUCUUUUAAAAGGGUUUGAUAGGGCCGAACCAUGCCACAACUAGAAAGGUUUUUCCAGUAAAUAAUGCAAUCUCAGGGUUCACACUGUGAUCAGAUAUCCUGCAACAAAUCAGCACCUUCCACGGCCUCUGCAUCAGCCCCUGCCUCCAGAUCCCUGCUUGAGUUCCUGUCCUGACUUCCUUCGGCGAACAGUAAAGUCAAAGGAGCAAUGGAUGUUGGUCAGCUGGAGCUGAAGGACCAGUUGUGGUUCAGAAGAGACCAACAUCACUAAGGUGAAGCUUCUAAGAAGUAUUAUCCUGAGAGUCCACACACAAGCUGUUUUUGGGGUGCCCUUGGUUGUACCAUGUGCUGGGAGCCAACCGAUAAUGUGUAAGACUCCCAGGUGGUACUGGUUUUGAAGACAUGAAGGGGUCAUGGAGAACAGCUGAGGCUUGGCACUGUUGAGAGGCCACCCGUAAAGGUGCAGCCUCAGCAGCAGAUGAAGUCUCCAGCUUGAAGGGGUCAUGCAGAGAGGCUGAGGCUGGGCAACGUGAAAUGGGCCCAGGAGAGGCUGCUGGUGAAAGUACAGCCCGGUUGUAGCAGAAAAUCCCAACGUUUUGCACCGUGGGACAACGACCACCACCAGCAGCUGCGCAGUGGAGCCAGCCUGAGCCCAGAGGACAGCUGUGUUCAUUGCAGAGUCAGAGGCGUGGCCCAAGCCCUUUGGAAGAGCCAUGAAGACAGUGAGUUAAUCACAAAUACUGGACAUUGAGUAAUUUAUGCUGUUGGAACUUUUUAAAUCUUAUUAUGACUUCACCCUGGUUCUUCCCUCUUGAAAUAAAGUAUUUCACUUAGUUUUUUACUUUGUAGGAGCCCACACUUGACUUUUGGCUUUUAAAGGCGUUGGAGUUUUGGUUUUUUUUUUUUUUUUGAGACUUAAUUUUUAGUAUUUGACUUUGUAAGAUUGUGUGCUGCAGAACAUCCUUUUGUACACUGUGAAUAUGUGCUGCUCUCAUUGGAUUAAUAAAGAGCUAAUGUUCAAUAGACAGGCAGAGGUUGCAGGACUUUGGACAGUGAAAAAGGGUGCUCGGGGGAGGAGUAGGUAAAGUCCCAGGGAGUCACCAGCCAGACACAGAGGAAGCAGGAGAAAAAGUGCCACCAUGUGGUAGAGCAUUGGUAAGAAACAUGGGUCAGUUUAAGAUGUAAGAGCUGGUUAUUAACAAGCCUAAGCUAUCAACCGAGCAUUUAUAAUUAAUGAUAAGUCUUUGUGUGGUUAUUUGGGAACCAGCUGGCUGGACAGAGAUGACUGACAAAAC